CACUCCUACGGGAGGCAGCAGUGGGGAAUUUUGGACAAUGGGCGAAAGCCUGAUCCAGCAAUGCCGCGUGAGUGAAGAAGGCCUUCGGGUUGUAAAGCUCUUUUGUCAGGGAAGAAACGGUGAAAGCUAAUAUCUUUUGCUAAUGACGGUACCUGAAGAAUAAGCACCGGCUAACUACGUGCCAGCAGCCGCGGUAAUACGUAGGGUGCAAGCGUUAAUCGGAAUUACUGGGCGUAAAGCGUGCGCAGGCGGUUUUGUAAGUCUGAUGUGAAAUCCCCGGGCUCAACCUGGGAAUUGCAUUGGAGACUGCAAGGCUAGAAUCUGGCAGAGGGGGGUAGAAUUCCACGUGUAGCAGUGAAAUGCGUAGAUAUGUGGAGGAACACCGAUGGCGAAGGCAGCCCCCUGGGUCAAGAUUGACGCUCAUGCACGAAAGCGUGGGGAGCAAGCAGGAUUAGAAACCCGUGUAGUCCCAU
rnacentral:rRNA from 1 species